UACGUAGGGUGCAAGCGUUGUCCGGAAUUAUUGGGCGUAAAGAGCUCGUAGGCGGUUUGUCGCGUCUGCUGUGAAAACCCGAGGCUCAACCUCGGGCCUGCAGUGGGUACGGGCAGACUAGAGUGCGGUAGGGGAGACUGGAAUUCCUGGUGUAGCGGUGAAAUGCGCAGAUAUCAGGAGGAACACCGGUGGCGAAGGCGGGUCUCUGGGCCGUAACUGACGCUGAGGAGCGAAAGCGUGGGGAGCGAACCGG
rnacentral:rRNA from 1 species